rnacentral:rRNA from 1 species
GACGAACGCUGGCGGCGUGCUUAACACAUGCAAGUCGAGCGGUAAGGCCUUUCGGGGUACACGAGCGGCGAACGGGUGAGUAACACGUGGGUGACCUGCCUUUAGCUUCGGGAUAAGCCUGGGAAACUGGGUCUAAUACCGGAUAUGACCUCAUGUCGCAUGGGUGUGGGGUGGAAAGUUUUUCGGCUAGAGAUGGGCCCGCGGCCUAUCAGCUUGUUGGUGGGGUGAUGGCCUACCAAGGGCGACGACGGGUAGCCGGCC